AUUUUUCCUAUGUAGUCAUAACUUUAUUUAGCAGUGUCACAAAAAUGAAUGUUUUGCCAGUUUUAAAUAGUAGUGUUAUAGGCAGUGUAAAAUAAUGCAAUGUUCUUGGCAGCGGUGUCUAGGUGUACAAAUAGAUGUUCUUGGCAGUGGUGUCUAGGUGUACAAAUAGAUGUUCUUGGCACAAAUAUUAAUGUUCUUUAACAUGUCAAUAUUAAGGUUCUUUGUUAAUGAGCAAAUGAACGAAAUUGUAAUUGCAUUGUUAUUCACAAUUUUUAUUUUUGUUAACGACAAAAAAUUAUAAGGAAAAGGUCAAAUAUCUUGAUGUCAUGCAUUUAGUAGGCACUCUGACUGAAGCUAGGAUCAACAAUAGUUUGUUGUCUAUUUGAUUCACAAAAUUGGUUCAGACAAUCUUGGUCUAUAUAUACUCUGGGUAGAUUGAGGAAAUUUUAAAACCUCAAAUUCCAAUCUGUUCUACAUGAUUUAC
rnacentral:lncRNA from 1 species